rnacentral:rRNA from 1 species
GAUCGCCCCACACUGUGACUGAGACACGGGACAGACUCGUACGGGAGGCAGCAGUAGGGAAUUUUCGGCAAUGGACGAAAGUCUGAGGGAGCAACCCCGCGUGAGUGAUGAAGGCUUUCGGGUUGUAAAACUGUGUUGUUAGGGAAGAACAAGUGCUAGUUGAAUAAGCUGGCACCCCACCGUACCUAACCAGAAAGCCACGAACUAACUACGUGCCAGCAGCCGCGGUAAUACGUAGGUGGCAAGCGUUAUCCGGAAUUAUUGGGCGUAAAGCGCGCGCAGGUGGUUUCUUAAGUCUGAUGUGAAAGCCCACGGCUCAACCGUGGAGGGUCAUUGGAAACUGGGAGACUUGAGUGCAGAAGAGGAAAGUGGAAUUCCAUGUGUAGCGGUGAAAUGCGUAGAGAUAUGGAGGAACACCAGUGGCGAAGGCGACUUUCUGGUCUGUAACUGACACUGAGGCGCGAAAGCGUGGGGAGCAAACAGGAUUAGAUACCCUGGUAGUCCACGCCGUAAACGAUGAGUGCUAAGUGUUAGAGGGUUUCCGCCCUUUAGUGCUGAAGUUA